GACAGAGGGUGCAAACGUUGUUCGGAAUUACUGGGCGUAAAGCGUGUGUAGGUGGCUGCGUAAGUCGGAUGUGAAAGCCCUGGGCUCAACUCAGGAAGUGCACUCGAUACUGCGUAGCUCGAGUACCGGAGAGGUUGGUGGAAUUCUCGGUGUAGAGGUGAAAUUCGUAGAUAUUGGGAAGAACACCGGUGGCGAAGGCGGCUCUCUGGACCGUAACUGACGCUGAGGCGCGAAAGCGUGGGGAGCAAACAGG
rnacentral:rRNA from 1 species